rfam:Ensifer sp. YIC4027 scaffold2, whole genome shotgun sequence.
GUCUGACACGGCCCUACGGUAGCCAGUUUGGCUCCAACUUUCGGCCGUGGCGCAAUGAC